rnacentral:rRNA from 1 species
GAUGAACGCUGGCGGCGUGCCUAAUACAUGCAAGUCGAGCGAACGGACGAGAAGCUUGCUUCUCUGAUGUUAGCGGCGGACGGGUGAGUAACACGUGGAUAACCUACCUAUAAGACUGGGAUAACUUCGGGAAACCGGAGCUAAUACCGGAUGAUAUUUUGAACCGCAUGGUUCAAAAGUGAAAGACGGUCUUGCUGUCACUUAUAGAUGGAUCCGCGCUGCAUUAGCUAGUUGGUAAGGUAACGGCUUACCAAGGCAACGAUGCAUAGCCGACCUGAGAGGGUGAUCGGCCACACUGGAACUGAGACACGGUCCAGACUCCUACGGGAGGCGGCAGUAGGGAAUCUUCCGCAAUGGGCGAAAGCCUGACGGAGCAACGCCGCGUGAGUGAUGAAGGUCUUCGGAUCGUAAAACUCUGUUAUUAGGGAAGAACAUAUGUGUAAGUAACUGUGCACAUCUUGACGGUACCUAAUCAGAAAGCCACGGAUAACUACGUG